AUUGAACGCUGGCGGCAGGCCUAACACAUGCAAGUCGAACGGCAGCACAGAAGAGCUUGCUCUUUGGGUGGCGAGUGGCGGACGGGUGAGUAAUGUCUGGGAAACUGCCCGAUGGAGGGGGAUAACUACUGGAAACGGUAGCUAAUACCGCAUAACGUCGCAAGACCAAAGUGGGGGACCCUCGGGCCUCACACCAUCGGAUGUGCCCAGAUGGGAUUAGCUAGUAGGUGGGGUAAUGGCUCACCUAGGCGACGAUCCCCAGCUGGUCUGAGAGGAUGACCAGCCACACUGGAACUGAGACACGGUCCAGACUCCUACGGGAGGCAGCAGUGGGGAAUAGUGCACAAUGGGCGCAAGCCUGAUGCAGCCAUGCCGCGUGUAUGAAGAAGGCCUUCGGGUUGUAAAGUACUUUCAGCGGGGAGGAAGGCGGUGAGGUUAAUAACCUCGCCGAUUGACGUUACCCGCAGAAGAAGCACCGGCUAACUCCGUGCCAGCAGCCGCCGUAA
rnacentral:rRNA from 1 species